rnacentral:rRNA from 1 species
GGGAAUAUUGGACAAUGGGCGCAAGCCUGAUCCAGCAAUGCCGCGUGGGUGAAGAAGGUUUUCGGAUUGUAAAGCCCUUUCGGCGGGGACGAUGAUGACGGUACCCGCAGAAGAAGCUCCGGCUAACUUCGUGCCAGCAGCCGCGGUAAUACGAAGGGGGCUAGCGUUGCUCGGAAUGACUGGGCGUAAAGGGCGCGUAGGCGGUUUGCACAGUCAGAUGUGAAAUUCCUGGGCUUAACCUGGGGGCUGCAUUUGAUACGUGUAGGCUUGAGUGGGGAAGAGGGUCGUGGAAUUCCCAGUGUAGAGGUGAAAUUCGUAGAUAUUGGGAAGAACACCGGUGGCGAAGGCGGCGACCUGGUCCUUGACUGACGCUGAGGCGCGAAAGCGUGGGGAGCAAAC